GCAGGGAUGUGGCUCAGUGGUACAGGGCUUGCCUAGCAUGCAUAAGGCCUGGGUUCAAUUCCCAACACUGCA
rnacentral:tRNA from 1 species